UUUAGUGUGAGGUUUCCCUACCCAUGCAGGGUGGUUGGAACUAGAUGAUCUUAAGGUCCUUUCCAACCCUAACUAUUCUAUGACUCUGUGACUCUAAGUAUCCUGGGAAAAUUUUCAGGCUGUUUUCCAUCUGCAGAAAUUGUCUUUCUACUGCUCAAAACAACACUCUAAAGGCAACCUGGGGGAGUCUUUGUGUUGUGGAAUAGCAAGCUAUAAACUGCCACUCACUGCUGGCUGAGCAGCAGGGCAAGCAACCUGUGCCAAGAGGCUUGCUGAUGCACACUGAGGCAAACCCAAGUCUCUAUGGCCAGGGCCACCUCACCAGCAGUCAUGCGCAUGGCGUGCCUCUGCACACAGCAGCCUUCCCCAGACUAUCUGCCUUGGAUGUCCUGCCAGGCUUGAGGGAUUACUCCAUAAGCCAAGAAGUAAGAAGCUCUUGCAUGCAUGUUUCCCGGUGCCUAUGGACUGCAUUCGGGGUGCCCAAAAAGGGCUAUCUUAUAUGUGGUUUUUUUUGUGGAUGGAGUGUGAGUGCUGAGUGCUGAAAUGCUAUUCCUUUCAAAGCAUAAGGGUGACAUAAGAAGCUGAAGCACUACUUUCAGGAAUCAUUCCUGAAAAUCUUUGCGCAGUUCUGACAGAAGAUUUGUGCAGGAGCAUAGAGGGGAUUCGCCAUUUCUGAACAUGAAGGCUGCUAGAAAUCGAAACAAAUCUUCAGAAUAGACCUAUGAAAUCUGUUUGAGAUUUACCCCUGUAAAACUUGGACAGGGAUCUCUUUGUACUUCUUUUUUCCUGACCUUUGUCUCUGUACACAGUUUUACUGAUCUCUUACAGCUUGAAAGGACAACAGCUAUCUUGAAAUAAGUCCUAUUUUGAGGGGCUGGAAAGGGUAGAGUGAAGACAGUUUUGGGUAAGAUGCAGUGCCUCAGGCCACCUCUUAGCUUUUUUAAACACCCAUUAUUUUUUCCAAAGCCUCUGUCAGUAGUAAAUUUCCUGCAGCUGGAAUGGUGCCCUGUGGGACUCAACAUGCUCCAGCAAGCCCUUCCAUAGAGCCUCCUCCCACCCUUGUAUGCGCUUGCACCCUAAGCCAGCCAUCGGGAAGCCUGAUUCAGUGACUAUUAAAGGUUAGGAUGUAUCACAGGUCUUGAAUAUGUUAAGAUCCUCAUGUUCUUCCCUUCCCACCUGCACUCCUUAUGUUUCUUUUGUCACUGACGUCUCGGACAGGUCACCUGCUUCUCACAGUUUCCACAUCUUCUUCCUGAAGAAUUUCAUAUUGCAUAAUAAAGGUAGAGGCUUUUCAGCUAUUGGGGUAAGUCAAAUCCCUGUCUUAAACACCUGCUCUGUUAGCUCUGUUUCCACAGGCAGCUCCCAAUCUGUUUAUCUUCAUGUAAGACAGAUCCAAAAGGUAGGUAGGUUUGUCACCUGCUCUUGGCAUUAAAUUCACAGGCAGAGUGCCUCACAACAGUCACCUUCUCUGUUUUCACACAGGAUAUUCCCUGCUUUUCUGAAGCCGAUCCUCACCCAUACCAUGUUUAACAACUGAGCUGAAGUUGACUCUCUCUCUCCCAUAUAGUCCCCUUCUCACGGCCAUCACUGUUUCUCUCACCACAACAUCUGCCUGACAUAGGCUACAACCACAGUGCCUUAAGUCUCUGCCUCUGACUUCCUCCAUGCCUUACUCGCCACAGGCACUUCUCUGUAGAGUUUCCAUAGGAACACAAGGCUUCUCACAAGGGUGAACACUCUCCACGUGCAUCUGGCAGUCGUAACCAUCACUCGAGAGCUGAGGCUGCUACCAUCCCACCUGAUGCUUUGCAGACUACAGCUUCAGUGUGUGAGGAGGCGAGACCCAGAUCAAAGCACAUCAACAGGGAGAACCACAGGCAGCACAGAAACAGAGCAUCCCUGUACACCAUAGCUGUUGUUAACAAUCCCCUAAAAUUCAUGCAACAUCUCUGUACUGGGAAACAAUGGAGGACACUGAGGAGUUUCAAGCAAAACCAGCAUUUCCACCUAGCUUAACUGUUAGCAUAACAUACACAGCAGAUGUUUCACUGAAAAGCACACCUCUUCUUUACUACUGUCCAUGCAAUCAUCUUUUGUUCCUGCAUUGCAGAAAUACCCAUUUUCUAUAUCAGCAUCUCAGACUUAACAUCUAUUCUUUCCUGCCUUCCACCUGUGAAAACAAAACUAAUAAACAUACACAAAACAGCUACCAA